rnacentral:rRNA from 1 species
UUGCCAGACUCCUACGGGAGGCAGCAGUGGGGAAUAUUGCACAAUGGGGGAAACCCUGAUGCAGCAACGCCGCGUGAGUGAAGAAGCGUUUCGGCGCGUAAAGCUCUGUCAGCGGGGAAGAAAGAAGACGGUACCCGACCAAGAAGCCCCAGCUAACUACGUGCCAGCAGCCGCGGUAAUACGUAGGGGGCAAGCGUUAUCCGGAUUUACUGGGUGUAAAGGGCGUGUAGCCGGGCCGGCAAGUCAGAUGUGAAAUCCCAAGGCUCAACCUUGGAACUGCGUUUGAAACUGUUGGUCUUGAGUAUCGGAGAGGCAGGCGGAAUUCCUAGUGUAGCGGUGAAAUGCGUAGAUAUUAGGAGGAACACCAGUGGCGAAGGCGGCCUGCUGGACGACAACUGACGGUGAGGCGCGAAAGCGUGGGGAGCAAACAGGAUUAGAUACCCGUGUA